AACAAUUUGCUGUUGAAUUGAUUACUUCGACUCAUCGUCAGUUCCAUAUAGGCUAAUCGUAAAAUGACAAGAAUAAAUAGAAUGAAAACUCGGACUUGCGUGAAAAUUUAAAUUCAUAUUGCAGUGGUACAGCCACCGUUUGCUUUCCUUCAAAGUUACUGAUAGUGGAGCAGCGAAGUGUAUCCUCUAGAUGCGAACCAUGCACCAUAAAUUAAUCCAUAGUCUUCCUGGUCUUUUUAUGGAAUUGAAGAAUCGCAGAGUAAAAUUAUGGCAGUCUGAAAAAGCAAAAGGGACGAUUACUAGAAUUAACCUGUUAUUUUACCCUGACAAAAAGUGCAGAAGGUGAUUUCCAGUUUGCUUUUACUGUAUCACCAAUGUAAAUUACACAGAACCACCGCAUACCUCACAUAACUGUAUCAAACGUUUUGAGUCAGUUAUAAUGGGCUAACAAAGAACAUCCGGAAGAAAAUAUUCAGUAACCGAAUUAAACCGUUUAAUGUUUAGGUACGUAAUAUACUGUCCGACCACGAAUGCUUAACAUUUUAUAAAACGAAUACUAAAGCAAGAAAACAACAGAAGAGCAAACGUUAUAAUCCUCGAUCUUAAUUUCUCAUCUGUUCCAAGACGCUGGCAGGCUAUAACCAAAAGUAGGCUACUGCGCCGCUUAACAUACAAGUUUGAAUUCAAGUUAUUAUUAUGAAAAUAAAUCGGUUUGCGGCUGCAGAUUUUUAAAAAUGGCGGUUGAAAUAAAAUACUGCGAGUAGUCGACCAAUCAGAAAUAUUCAGUGCUUGCGCCCCACCCCAAAAGUUCCGGUACUUUUGGAAAGUACUACCCCCAGAGCAGGGACUUUUUUUACCCUGGUCCCUGCGGUGGAAACGCACUGAGUUCCUCAAAAGGUUCCUAGUUCCUGGGGAAAGUUCCUGCGGUGGAAACGCGGCUUAAAAUGCA